rnacentral:rRNA from 1 species
UACGUAGGGUCCGAGCGUUGUCCGGAAUUACUGGGCGUAAAGGAGCUCGUAGGUGGUUUGUCGCGUUGUUCGUGAAAACUCACAGCUCAACUGUGGGCGUGCGGGCGAUACGGGCAGACUGGAGUACUGCAGGGGAGACUGGAAUUCCUGGUGUAGCGGUGGAAUGCGCAGAUAUCAGGAGGAACACCGGUGGCGAAGGCGGGUCUCUGGGCAGUAACUGACGCUGAGGAGCGAAAGCGUGGGGAGCGAACAGG